UUGAGUAUCAGUUGUGGAUGAUAGCGUUAGCAAGCAGGAGCAGGGUGUAGUUCCUGUGUGCCCCAACCUCCUCUGCUAUAAUAUAUUAUACAUCAAGAAUAAGGAACACAAUAUUGCAGAGAAUGCCAAAGUUAGGCUCAAGGAAUAAUGUAAUUAGUUUUAGCAUGAGGAGGUCCAGUAGCAGCCGAUGCUAACAGUGUCAUAAACUAGCCCGUAGAAGCUACAAAACAGGAGUGAGUUUGUUGUCAACUACAGACAAUGGCCCCAGAACCUUCAGAUUUAUCAACAUUAGAAGGUAACCUACAUACUGCUUUGCUGCACUGCAAGCUUCUCACCCACUGAUCAUCCACUUGUCUCAACACCGUGAAGAAUCAUCCUCUUUGACCGAUAUAUCAUCUUAUGAAACAUAUAAGAUGGCUGCACGAUCAAAUAAUCCUUCUACUAUACAAAACUGUACGUCCUUCUACUUUGAUGUACUUAUUUUAGUCUUCUCAUUUCAUGCAUGUUUUGACAGUGUCUGAAUAAUUAAUAUAAUUUUUCAAA